GGCCGCUUAGUUGAAGUUAAGGUUUAGAUGAGGUAGGAUCCUAAUUAUUAAAAAAAGAAAAUUCAUCUAAAUGUCAUGAUUCUCCUCUAUUAUCCAUUGAAAAAGAUUAGAAAUAAUGCAUUUGAUCUCCCAUGGGAUUUCUAUUCUUAUCCUUCAAACACCACUGAUGGCUUUCAUAGUCAACUUUAGGAACCUAGCAAUGGACCGAUAUUUUUUUGUGGACCCAAAAAUUGAUUUUGAUGAAUACACAAUAUUUGAGUAUAUAAUGGUACUAAUGGUUUG
rnacentral:lncRNA from 1 species